rnacentral:rRNA from 1 species
GACGAACGCUGGCGGCGUGCCUAAUACAUGCAAGUCGAGCGGACCAAUAGAAAAGCUUGCUUUUCUUGAGGUUAGCGGCGGACGGGUGAGUAACACGUGGGCAACCUGCCUAUAAGACUGGGAUAACUUCGGGAAACCGGAGCUAAUACCGGAUACGUUCUUUUCUCGCAUGAGAAGAGAUGGAAAGACGGCCUCUAGCUGUCACUUAUAGAUGGGCCCGCGGCGCAUUAGCUAGUUGGUGAGGUAAUGGCUCACCAAGGCGACGAUGCGUAGCCGACCUGAGAGGUGAUCGGCCACACUGGGACUGAGACACGGCCCAGACUCCUACGGGUGGCAG